UCCUGGUAGCUCAGCCAGUAAAGCAUCUGCCUAUAAUGCAGGAGACCUGGGUUCGAUCCCUGGGUCGGGAA
rnacentral:tRNA from 1 species